UUCGGGAAGACGGGCGUGUGCAGAAAAGUAUGCCGACAAUAAACAAUUUGCCGCCAAAAUCAAUGAUGUAACUGGCGUUUGUACUGGUUUAUCAUGGAUCUGGGGGAGUAACCAACAAUAUGACCCUGGAUUUUCCUAUCUCAUGAAGUGAAAAACAAUAGAAAUUUACCAACCGGCGAAAGAUCUUUCAGAUGACUUUGAUUGGCUGAUUCCUGGAAUAUUUGGUGUUGGUGGAGGUUUAGAAUUUUACAUCACGACACCAGAAGGUGGCGCUUGGGUUGGGUUCGCUAUCAACUUAUUGGAUACUACAGAUGUUAAUUUCAACGUGUAUGGGGGAGCCUCUGAGACCGUUAUGUUACAUAUGAUGGUUGUGAGACAGCAUAACGAGCUCGUUUUCAAAACAUGGGUAGGUGGCUGGACCAACAUAUUAAUCAUGGCAAUUCCAUUUUCUGAAGGAAGUGUUACUAAGUUUACUUUAGUACCAGAUGCAGACGUCUUG